AAUCUUUGAAGGAAUCUCGAGUGACAGCCUUCAGGAGAGCAUGUUGGCAAAACGUGCAGCACUUCUUUUGAUUUUAUCCAUGGUUUUCUCCAUGGUCAUGGCAAAGCCAGGAAAACAUCUUAAGGAGAGAGUCCAAGAGCGGGCUGAGGACGACUACGACGAUUACUCCAAUGAAACGACCACCGAGGGAAGUGGCAUGACGGCACGACCUAAAGCGUCGCCUUCUGGUUCCAGUGGUGGGGGUGGUUUUGAUAGAAUUGAAGCGGAAUAAAGGUAACUUGGCGUCAUGGAGAAAGGGGGAUACGUUGCUACUUUGCGAAGCCAACUAUCCCUCCAACCAUGUUUGAUAUUGAAUAAACAAACUGAAAAGCAUCAAA